AACGAACGCUGGCGGCAUGCCUAACACAUGCAAGUCGAACGAGACCUUCGGGUCUAGUGGCGCACGGGUGCGUAACGCGUGGGAACCUGCCCUUAGGUUCGGAAUAACUCCCCGAAAGGGGUGCUAAUACCGGAUAAUGUCUUCGGACCAAAGAUUUAUCGUCUUUGGAUGGGCCCGCGUUGGAUUAGCUAGUUGGUAGGGUAAAAGCCUACCAAGGCGACGAUCCAUAGCUGGUCUGAGAGGAUGAUCAGCCACACUGGGACUGAGACACGGCCCAGACUCCUACGGGAGGCAGCAGUGGGGAAUAUUGGACAAUGGGCGAAAGCCUGAUCCAGCAAUGCCGCGUGAGUGAUGAAGGCCUUAGGGUUGUAAAGCUCUUUUACCCGGGAUGAUAAUGACAGUACCGGGAGAAUAAGCUCCGGCUAACUCCGUG
rnacentral:rRNA from 1 species